rnacentral:lncRNA from 1 species
CAUGACCCUCAUGACCAUGGCCCACCAGAUAAAACCCAGCUUGGCAUUCAAGGUGCUGCAGAGCUGGCCCUUCCUCCCUUCACUCUAUACACAGGCACUUGGAGGUGCCUACACAUCUACUUGCCCUUGCCCUCUCCUUAGUUUGGCCAAUUCUUAUUCAUCUUCCAUCACAGGCCUAUGUGAAGAGCUAGGAAGCCCUUCCUUAGCUCUUCACUGUGUUAAGUGUAUUUCACCACCUCCCAUUCUUUCCACAGUAGACCCUCCCUCCCA